UUUCAUUAAUGUCCACAAACUCAAAUCAAAAUACCCCAGUCCUGGCUGGCUGCCGUAACAAACCAACCCAACCCCACACGUCAUGAGGGUACACCUAGGCACGCCUAGGGUAAAAUGUUGAAGUUAAAAUCCUUUAUCCACCACGGUGAAAACGGCUACAAAAAAUUGUUGCCGUUUCCCGGAACCCAAAAUAAAAAUCUAACGUACACUUAUCAUUUUUCUUCUCUGUCUCUGUCUUGCGCUUUGAUUCCUUUGAUCACACUCAUAAUUUCCUUCUACUAAUAAAGUUUUCAAAAUGAACUUGGAGAUUAGCAAAUCUGGCUCUGAGAGUGGACAGGGUUCCGGCAGGAAUGACGGCGGUUUGAGAGCGGAGAUUGAUACUUCUGCGCCGUUUCAGUCUGUCAAGGAGGCAGUGACUCGAUUCGGUGAAGUCGGUUACUGGAAACCAUCUCAACAUAAGCUCUCUGAAACUGAGCAUGACGAGGAAGAGGUUGGCAUUUCAAAAGUAGAGGAACAAGCAGCACUGUUGGAAAAAGAUCUGAUCAUGAAAGAAAGAGAAACACUAGAUGUUUUAAAACAGUUGGAAACAACAAAAAUGAUGAUUGAAGAACUAAAACUAAAGUUACAGAAACAGGCAUCUGAAGCCAAUAUGACCUUGGAGUCAAGUGCAGAUGAUAGAAAUUUGACUCUUGCUUUAAAGGAAGAAAAGAAGGAUGACUUUAAUCAUGAGAAUCUUGGAUAUCAUAAUCAGAAUUUCGUGGAAGGUUUGAGCCCCUGCCCCUCUUCAGCUCCUGGUUUAAUUUUAAUGGAACUGAAGCAGGCUAAGUUGAAUCUUUCCAGGACUACUAAUGAUCUUGCUGACAUUCGAGGUUCUGUUGAAUUUUUAAAUAAGAAAUUAGAGAAUGAAAGAAUUUCACUUGAAAAAACCCAUGGGAGGUUUGCCCUGAAUUCCUCAAAGAUAUCGUCUCUUGAGGAAGAGCUAAACGAAACAAAACAAAAACUUCAACUGGUGAAAAAUGCUGAAAUUAAUUGUGGUUUUGAGAACUCUUUGGAUAUAAUAAGGGAACUCCACCAGCUGAAUUCUGAGGCAGACCAGUUCAAAAAAAUGGGGGAUGCUGCACAAUCUGAAGUUUUGAAAACAAUAUCUGAGAUUGAACAAACAAAAAGUAGGAUAAAAACAGCCGAGAUCAGGUUGGUUGCUGUCAGAAAAAUGAAGCAAGCAGCAAGAGCAGCAGAAGCUGUUGCGCUUGCAGAGAUCAAGGCUAUGUCAAGCCAUGAGAACUCAUUGGAAGAUUCCUCACAGAAGGCUGAAGGAGUAACUCUUACAUUCGAAGAGUAUUCAGCCUUAACCUGCCUAGCUCAAAAAGCUGAGGAACUAUCCAAGGCUAAGGUAAUGGCCACCAUGCAUCAAGUUGAUGAUGCAAAUGUUUCAAGUAUUCAAAUCUUGAAGAGGGUAGAGGAAGCUACAGAAGAAGUCAAAACCAGUAAGAGGGCCUUGGAAGAAGUCCUGAACAGAGUAGAGGCUGCAAAUAGGGGAAAGCUUGCAGUUGAAGAAGCUCUUCGCAAGUGGAGAUCUGACCACGGGCAGAAAAGACGUUUAGUGCAGAACUCUACCAAGUUUAAGAAUUCAUACCCAUCUCACCAUCGGAGGGAUUCUCAUUUGCUUGAUGUAAGUGGACUAAACCCAUUGAGUGAUGGGUCAACACCUGUUUUGAAGCCAACCCUAUCAAUAGGCCAAAUACUUAGAAGGAAGCUACUCUUGCCUGAAGAGUUUGAGACAGGGAUGAUGGCAGAAAAAGGCACCAUGAAGAGAAAGAUGUCACUGGGCCAAAUGCUCAGUAAACCAAAUGGUGAUGUACCCACUACUUGUAAGGUUGAGAAGGAAAACUGUCACAAGCAAUUUUCUGGAAAGAGGAAGAAGUUUGGAUUUGCUCGGUUCUCACUACUCUUGACAAACCAGAGCAAGAAAAAAAGAAGCCUACUCCAAACUUGAGGUAAUGUGGCUGGCCAUGCCCAUUGUUUUCAAUCAGGGUUAACUUCUAAAUUCAUCGCUUACCAUGGUGGACUCUUUUAUAUUCAUGUUUUCUAAUGUUUCUAGCUUCAUGUAGUUGUUUCUGUUGGCUACAUUUGUAUUUUGUACUUGUUUAUUGUAAAAAUGUUUAGGAUGUUUUACGUGAUUGGAUAUCAUGAUUGGAUUGUGCAUGGUAAGAUGUAAUCCUUUCCGGAAACUAAUUUGCCUUGUGAG
rnacentral:misc_RNA from 1 species